rnacentral:rRNA from 1 species
UACGUAGGCAGCGAGCGUUGUUCGGAGUUACUGGGCGUAAAGAGCGCGUAGGCGGCUCGUUAAGUGUGAAGUGAAAUCUCUAGGGCUCAACCCAGAAACUGCUUUACAUACUGGCGAGCUGGAGUGAUGAAGAGGUUUGUGGAAUUCCUGGUGUAGCGGUGAAAUGCGUUGAUAUCAGGAGGAACACCCAUGGCGAAGGCAGCAAACUGGUCAUCAACUGACGCUGAGGCGCGAAAGCGUGGGUAGCAAACAGG